CGGCUGUCAGCGGGACCUGGUCGUCGAGUGCCUGGAACUCAUUUCGGCCAGGUAUUCUCACAAACACCAGUCUCUAUGGAUCUACUGCCUGUUCUAGUUCUCGUUCACCUAGAUGAACGGCGUUCGGGAAUUCCAGACUACCGAACACAGGGAGCAUUCUCCACGUACCAACUUGUCUAUAUUUUAUGUGAGUUUCAUGAAAAACCUCAUGAAUGGAGACCGGCUCUUGACACAAUUUCCAUGGAACUAUUUCUGAG